rnacentral:rRNA from 1 species
CAGCAGCCGCGGUAAUUCCAGCUCCAAUAGCGUAUAUUAAAGUUGUUGCGGUUAAAAAGCUCGUAGUUGGAUCUCGGCGGGCAGGGGGUGGUUCGCUCUUCAGCGCUACUGCCCCGCUUUGCCCGUGUGAUUGGCGGAGGUUUCGGGGUGCUCUUCGUUGAGUGACUCGGAGCGCCGUCAGGUUUACUUUGAAAAAAUUAGAGUGCUCAAAGCAGGCUUUUCACGCUUGAAUAUUCGUGCAUGGAAUAAUGGAAUAGGAACUCGUUUCUAUUUUGUUGGUUUUCGGAAAUCGAGUUAAUGAUUAACAGGGACAAUUGGGGGCAUUAGUAUUCAGACGACAGAGGUGAAAUUCUUGGACCGUCUGAAGACUGACUACUGCGAAAGCAUUUGCCAAGAGUGUUUUCAUUAAUCAAGAACGAAAGUUAGAGGUUCGAAGGCGAUCAGAUACCGCCCUAGUUCUAACCAUAAACGAUGCCAGCUAGCGAUCUGCCGAGUUUUUUUUGUAGGCUCCGCAGGAAGCUUUCGGGAAACCAAAGCUUUUGGGUUCCGGGGGAAGUAUGGUUGCAAAGCUGAAACUUAAAGGAAUUGACGGAAGGGCACCACCAGGAGUGGAGCCUGCGGCUUAAUUUGACUCAACACGGGAAAUCUCACCAGGCCCGGACACUGGAAGGAUUGACAGAUUGAGAGCUCUUUCUCGAUUCGGUGGGUGGUGGUGCAUGGCCGUUCUUAGUUGGUGGAGUGAUUUGUCUGGUUAAUUCCGAUAACGAACGAGACUCUGUCCUGCUAAAUAGUUGGGUCGUCCUUCGUGCGAUCCAAGUUCUUCUUAGAGGGACUGGCUGCGUCUAGCAGCACGAGAUUGAGCAAUAACAGGUCUGUGAUGCCC